AGCAGCCGCGGUAAUUCCAGCUCCAAUAGCGUAUAUUAAAGUUGCUGCAGUUAAAAAGCUCGUAGUUGAAUUUCGGGACCAUCAUGUUGGUCGUGCCUCGGUACGUACUGGCAUUGUUGGUUUCUCCCUUCUGACGAACCAUGAUGUCAUUUAUUUGGUGUCGUGGGAAAUCAGGACUGUUACUUUGAAAAAAUUAGAGUGUUUAAAGCAGGCUCACGCUUGAAUACAUUAGCAUGGAAUAAUGAAAUAGGACGUUUGAUUCUAUUUUGUUGGUUUCUAGGAUCGGCGUAAUGAUUAAUAGGGAUAGUUGGGGGCAUUAGUAUUCAAUUGUCAGAGGUGAAAUUCUUGGAUUUAUUGAAGACUAACUACUGCGAAAGCAUUUGCCAAGGAUGUUUUCAUUAAUCAAGAACGAAAGUUAGGGGAUCGAAGACGAUCAGAUACCGUCGUAGUCUUAACCAUAAACUAUGCCGACUAGGGAUCGGAUGAUGUUAAUUUUUUAAUGACUCAUUCGGCGCCUUAC
rnacentral:misc_RNA from 1 species